AAAAAAAAAUCUAUUGCUGUAAAAUAGUGAUUGCUGAUCACUUCAAAUUUUACAAACAGAUGCCACCAAUAGAGAAAAUUAAAAGACAUUCUUCAUUCCUUUAAAAUAAUAAAUUAGACAACAUUGUAUUGUGAAAAUAUAAUGAUACCUAUUUAUAUUCUAAUAUGAAAACAAUGUUCUUGUAAGGUAUAGCUUAAUUGAAACCUCCUCUCUCAAAUUUACAACUGGGUAACAGGAUCAAAUCCAUUUGUAUGCCCAUUUUUCUGUGAUUUCUGACCAUUAAUUUCAAUUGCUCUCUCCUCAUUGUCAUCCAUAAAUCUCUUCCAGAGCCAAUGUUGCUUCCACACUCUCUCCGUCAUCUCUUCAAUAGGUAUGUUUUUGGUCUCUGGAACGAGGAAAAACACGAAAAAUGACAUGAUAAACACCCAGCCAGAGAAGAACAAGAAGAUGCCAUAUUUGAAAUGGCACAGCAUAGAGAGGAAGGCCUGUGCUAUAGCAAAUGUGAAGAGCAAGUUGACACAAACAGUAACACUCUGACCAGCUGAGCGGGUCUCCAAUGGGAAAGUUUCACUGGGGAUUAGCCAUCCAAGAGGUCCCCAAGACCAGGCAAAUGCAGAAACAAAAGUGCACACCAUAAUAACCACUAAGACUGCAAAUCCACGAUGAAGGUCAUCAGAGUGGUCUUUAACCUUGAUUCCUAGGAUUACUGCUAUUAUCACUUGAGAGACAAACAUUUGGAUUCCAGCUUCCAAUAACAGCAUUCGGCGUCCUACUUUGUCCACUGAAUAGAUGGAUACAACAGUAGAAAUAACAUUCACUGCACCUGUUAUAACAGCUGAAUACAGGGAAGCAUCGUUGCCGAAUCCUACUGUAUCGAAUAGGACAGGAGCAUAGAACAUGAUUGCAUUGAUGCCUGUGAGUUGCUGGAAGAUCUGCAAGGCUACUGCUAUAACCAACUGGGGGCGGUUCCUCCUCUUCAUAAGAUUCCUGAAUGGAUGCUUCACUUCUUUUGCUAUACGGCUUGCCUCAACAAGCUCCAGGAACUCAGGUUCAAUAUUAUCUGUGCCCCGAAUCUUUUUGAGAACUGAUUUUCCUUCUUCCAGACGGCCACGCUCAAUGAGGCUGUUAGGAGUUUCUGACACCAGGAGAGACCCAAAAGUCAAGAGAAAUGCUGGAAUGCCUGCCAAUCCCAACGAUAGUCUCCAACCCCAUCCCCCUUUAAUUUUUGCAGUCCCGUAAUUGACAAGGUUGGCAAAAAGAAUGCCGAUGGUGACGUUAAGCUGGAACAGUAUGUUUAAGCCUCCACGUAUUCUUGUGGGUGCUAUCUCUGAUAGGAACAGAGGCACAGCCUGAUUAGCAAAACCGACUCCACAGCCCAGCAAAAUCCUGCCAAUUAUAAGCAUGGCAAGGUCUUGAGCUGCAGAAUUAAGCACCACACCAAUAAUGAAGAACAUCCCAGCAAUCAACAUGGUUGGUCUCCUGCCUAACUUUCUAGUGGUGUAGGACGCAAAGAAAGUAGCUAUUAAGCCAGCCAAGUACAGUGACGACGUGAACAACUGCAAUCCUUGGUUAUCAUACUUGCAAUAGUUGCUAUUGAUAGUGGGAUCCUGCGUCUUGUUAUACACAGUGGGGAAGAACUUUUUCAAGAAAUCAGGCAUCGACGUAACGCCCCCUGAAACUCCAACGUCGUAACCAAACAUGAGGCCACCGGUGGCAGCCAUUAUGCAGGAAAUGAUGACGAUAGGCGUUAUCUUAGCCUCAAACUCCACUCCUUCGGCAGGCACGGCCGUGAAACCUCCCGCAGGCAUGAUUGUGGAUCAAAAUCUAGACACCACAAACAAAAAGGGAAGAGAAAAUCUCUUAUAUGUGAGCUUUAGAAACUAAAGGCACGACUUUUA
rnacentral:misc_RNA from 1 species